rnacentral:lncRNA from 12 species
GAAAGCGUGUAACUUUGGCCUAAUAAUGAACUUUUCAUGGCGAAGAAGAAAUACACGAACUAACUGGCCACUUCAGAGACUGUGUUGUGUCUGUGUGUCGGUGUGACUGUGGGAGCCGAGGGAGCAGAGGUGUCGGUGACACAGGGAGAGGAAUGGAGAGAGAGACGAUAGAUACGGAGGGAGCGAGAUGAGAGAGAGAGGGAAGGAAACAUUCAAGAUUCUGGAUGAGGGACAGAGCGGAUGGAGAAGGGGAAAGGCUGGAUACAAAGGGAGAGAGAGGAACUCAAGUGCUUGAACGCAGGAUCCAUCUGUUCGGUGUAUCGUCUGAUUUCCCCCUCCCAGCACCCUCCUCUUUCUCUUUUCCUCCCUCACCUCCCAUUAAAACCACGUAAGCCUGAUUUAUCAAGAAUUGGCUCUCAGGGAGCAUCCCUCCUGCUGUACCCACCUGCCCCCCUGCAUAUGCCGGAAAAAUGAGAAUAGAUUGGCCCAUCCGUGGAUGGUGCCAGGUGGC